rnacentral:rRNA from 1 species
GUUAAGCUUUUAAAUAACUAUUAAAGAUAUUAUCCCCUUGUAGUGUAGUUUAAUAGCUAUCUACAUAAUAACUUAAUAUAAAGUAUAAUAGUUUAUAUUUUAUAAUAUGACGUUAACAAUUUUGUUUGAUAUUUGAAAAUGUUAGUAUUAGUAAUAUUAGUAUAUGUGCUAAAGGAACUCGGCAAAAAACCACUCAACUGUUUAUCAAAAACAUAGCUAUAUGAAUUAAUAUAUAGUUAUUUCUGCUCAAUGACUUAAAUAGCCGCAGUACUCUGACUGUGCAAAGGUAGCAUAAUCAGUUGGCUUUUAAUUAGAGUCUGGUAUGAACGAAAAUAUGGGUAGUAACUGUCUUAGCACAUUUUUUCGAACUUAUUAAACAAGUGCAAAUGCUUGUAAUUUAACAAUAGACGAGAAGACCCUAGAAACUUGGACAAGUUUUUGUUGGGGCGACAGAAUUACACUUAACUAAUCUUAUAAUACACGACGCGAUGUUGAAAGAAUAAGUUACUCUAGGGAUAACAGCAUAAUUUCAUUAGUUUGUGACCUCGAUGUUGGACUAGGUACUAUACCCUUAAGGCAAGGAUAUAUUAUGCUCUGUUCGAGCAAAAUUACCUACAUGAUCUGAGUUCAGACCGG